AUGUUUGUUCCCGUGUCUAGUCCUCGUGCUUCCUUGUUCCCGCCAUGUGCUUUCCCUGUGUUUGUUUGUCUGUGCCAUGUGCCCUCUUGUUGUUGUCCGUGUCUCCACCCCUCACCUGUUCCCAAUCUCCCGGGUUGUGUGUGUCAUUGGGUUCACCUGUGUCCUGUUAAUUCCCCUUGUUUAGUCCUCGUGCUUCCUUGUUCCCGCCAUGUGCUUUCCCUGUGUUUGUUUGUCUGUGCCAUGUGCCCUCUUGUUGUUGUCCGUGUCUCCACCCCUCACCUGUUCCCAAUCUCCCGGGUUGUGUGUGUCAUUGGGUUCACCUGUGUCCUGUUAAUUCCCCUUGUUUAGUCCACCUGUGUCUUUGUCUGCCCCGCCUUGAUUGUUCUCACCUGUUCCUCGUUAUCUGUUGCCUGUGUGUGUAUAUAUAGUCCUUGUUUUCUUGUUCCUCGUGGUGUCUUCGUAAAAGUUUGUGUUUGAUGGUAUGUUCCUUGGGUUUCCACUGCUCCUCGUGUAUUCCUAGCGUUUAGCGCUUCUGCCUUGUUCAAGUGAUUACUCGUGCUUCUGACCUCUGCCUGCCCUACUACUAUUCUCCUGCCUAUUCCCUGUGUGGAUUUGUUUGCCUAUUUUUGGACUGCCUACCUGUGUACCGAACCCUGCUAGUAAACAUUUAUUCUUCUGAAUCUACCCCUGUGCUGAGUCGUGCGAUUGAGUCCUGCACAACACCCACCAGUCGUAACAUUAGGUUACAUGUCUGCAAUGUGUAGCUAUCUGUGCGAUAUACCUUAACGCAAUGUGGAAGACAGCUAUCUAUAAUAACACCUGAUCAACACCUGUACUUGUAGAAAAAAUGCAUUGCUCUUGUUGCAUCUUUCAUCGGGGCAAACUUGAACUUUGUUAAAGUCCACAAUCCAUGAAUGAAUUGAUUUUCAAUUGAUUGCGAGUGCAUUUCGCAAGUUUGACCACUUGCAAAGAAAUGUGUGAUCUAUAAUUGUAAUAGUAGUUGUAUUUUAACAGUGAGAAACAGAAUAUCAACAAAAAAAUCCAGAAAACUGCAUUUUAUAACAUUUAUGACCUAGCAAAACAUGACUUAGUACUGGUGGAAUAACCCUUGUUGGCAAGCACAGACGUCAGACUUUUCUUGUAGUUGGUCACCAGAUUUACACACAUCUCAGGAGGGAUUUUGGUCCACUCCACUUUGCAGAUCCUCUCCAAAUCCUUAAGGUUGCGUUUUCAAUGGGAGGGAAUGAGGGAAUGAGGUUCAAGCCCAAUAUUCCACGUUACAUGGCCCCAUCCAUAGUCCCCUCGAUGGAGUGGAGUCGUCCUGUACCCUUGGCAGAGAAACAGCCCCAAAGCAUAAUGUUUCCACCUCCAUGCUUGACGGUGGGGAUGGUGUCAUAUUCAGCAUUCUUCCCCCUCCAAACGCGGCAAGUCGAGUUGAUGCCAAAGAGCUUGAUUUUGGUCUCAUCUGACCACAUCCUGUCUCCCAAUCCUCCUUAGAAUCAUUCAAGUGUUCAUUGGCAAACUUCAGAUGGCCCUGUACAUGUGCUUCCUUGAGCAGGGGGACCUUGCGAGUGCUGCAGUACUUCAAACCAUUACGGCGUAGUGUGUUGCCAAUGGUUUUCUUGGUGACUGUGGUCCCAGCUGCCUUGAGAUCAUUCACAAGCUCCCCCUGUGUAGUUCUGGGGUUAUUCUGCACCUUUCGGAUGAUCACCGAUACCGCACAAGGGGAUAUCUUGCAUGGAGCCCAAGACCUAGAGAGAUUGACAGUUGUUUGGUGUUGCUUCCAUUAACGAAUAAUCGCACUAAUAGUUGUCUGCUUCUCACCAAGCUGCUUGCCGAUGGUUUUGUAACCCAUUCCAGCCUUGUGCAGGUCUACAAUCUUAUCUCUGACGUCCUUGGUCAACUCUUUGGUCUUGCCCAUGGUGGUGAGGUUGAAGGUGUGAAGUAUGAUUCUUUGGACAGGUUUCUUUUAUACACGUCACCAGUUGAGAUCAGGUGUACCUUGUUAGGCCUAAUGAGGACUAAUCUGUGUGCUUCAUGGGCACAUAACUGGUCAUUGGGAACCAGAAUUCUUGCUGUUUGCUUGGGGGUUCAAAUACUUAUUUUCUGCAUCAAAUACAAAUAAAGUCAUAAAUGUUAUAAAAUGCA
ensembl:lncRNA